GUCGAGUUUAAUCAAUACGAGUGGGUGCUUUGCAGCCAGGCUGACUGAGUCAGAAUCCUGGUUCCAAAAUAGCUAAAUGGCUGUUUGGCUGUGAAAUACUCGGUCUCAGCUUUCUUAUUUGUAAAAUGGGCCUACUCAUAUUGUUGUGUGCACUGAGGUAAUUCAUAUAAAAGUGGUAAGAACACUAUAGGUGUGAAACGCAAUUGGGAGCUAAUAUUAUCUAUUAUUUUCCACAGAUUUUUAUGAUAUGAACACGAGAUUCUCGGUUUUGGAAGGCGACGUUGUUAGGAAAGCCACCUUGUGAAGACAGAUGUGAGUAACGUUACCACACAGUCGAAAGCAGACUGAAAACCUGCGGUGGGUGCCAUGCAGGAAUGAUCUAGAAGUGGUAAAGGUUAUCCCAGUGUCCACAUAGCUAAAGUCCCUUGGGAAAUCAUCCAAGCUCUCUCAACCAACUGGUUCACACAGACGGAGACUACAAUUUGGAACACUUCUUAUACAUGACGGUCUCCCUGAAAUAGCUAUUGAAUGCGGGGAGGUUUUGAAAGCUUUCUAUAAUCAUCUGCGGUUGAACUGAUGCUAUGCAGAGCUCCUGAAACUUCCAGAUGUGAUUCUGUAAUGACUGCCAACCUUUACUCUGCAUAAGAAUCACUGGGGUGCUUCCUAAAAAUGCAGAUUCCCGGGAUCUACCCCUAGGGACUCGAUUUCAGUAAGUCUGGGUGGAGCUGAGACUCCACGUUUGAAACAAACAUCUCCUGGGAUACUGAUGGACUGGAUCCAUGGAAUGGACAUUAAAAGACACUAUUAUAGGGGCUUCUGGGGGACUCAGUCGGUUAAGCAUCUGACUCUUGGUUUUGGCUCAGGUCAUGAUCUCACAGUUUCGUGAGUUUGAGCCCCGUGUGGGGCUCUGCUGGCAGCACGGGACCUGCUUGGGAUUCUCUCUCUCCCUCCCUCUUUGCCCCUCCCCCACUUGCACUGUCUGUCUCUCUCAAAAUAAAUAAACUUAAAAAAAAAACUAUUACAGAGGUUCAAAUCGUAUAAAUUUACAACCAAUUUUCAAAAUUGAAAAGUAAAUUCUGUAUCAAAUUUGAAACAGUCCUGGGAGCCAAAUGGAAAGUCAGCUCCUUUUCAGGAGGCACAGACAGAAUCAUCAUUCCCAGAGAAGGGAGGUUCCAUUUGCUUAGCUCUAUUAGUUUGCUGGGGGGACCGGUAAUGGGAUUCCCUGAGUUCCCUAUGACACACAAAUACAACAUAGAGAAGAUUAGCCUAGUGAUAAAACAAAAACAAAAACAAAAACAAAAACAAAAGCUAUGGGUUAGAAAGCCCAACUGUUGGGUUUGAAUCGCGGACCUGCUAUUUACAGCUGUGUGAUCUUGGGCAAGUCAGUUAACUUCUCAGCUUCCUUAUCCGUCAGACGAUCCCUACCUCAGAGGAUUGUUGUCAGGGUUACCUGGGUCAAUACAAACUGUCUAUAGCGGUGCCUGGCACAUGGUGGCCAUAUACGUGUUAGGUGUUAUGCUUCCGUUUCCACAUAAUGUUUCCUUCAAAGAGAGGAACAGUCAAGGCUAUGCUCGAUCAGGGGGCAAGAACCCAACGUAACCCUUAACUGAGCACCGAAAAUGGAGUCACGUGUUAAUGUAUGGGGAAAUCAGCCAUUUACUUUUGGUGAAAUGAAAAAGCAACAUCAUAUUGAUGAUCAUUUUUUUGGAGCAAUUAAAGUAACUUGCUGAUUUAAUAAACUGUGAUGUAUAAA